GCAUAUCAAUAGGCCGGAGGAA
rnacentral:rRNA from 1 species